rnacentral:lncRNA from 1 species
GGCCUUGACCAUCCAGCAGGUCAAGCACCUCUCAACAUACCAUGCAAUCUCCUUCUUCAUGUCUGGCCACCAAUAGCUCAAACGCAAAUCCCGAUACAUUUUGGUGGCCCCUGGGUGAAUAGCAAAGUGAGACUUAUGAGCCUCCUAUAGAACAAUCUUUUUGACCCUACCAAACAUCAGAAACCAGACCUGACCAUAACAGGUCAAUAAUCCCCGACUAUCCUGCACAAACUGAGUGUUCUCACCCCUAAUCUUCUCAAGCUUCAAAUUCUCUUGAUUCAUACCCUCAACCUGAGCUUCCCUGAUCAAGCUCACAAGUGGAGAAUCCACCGAUAUCCUCAUACAUGUCACUGGAGUAGAAGAUCCAGCUGACUUGUGGUCCAGAGCGUCCGUAACCACAUUCGCUUUACCUGGGUGGUAAAGGAUCUCACAAUCGUAGUCCUUGACUACAUCCUGCCACCUGCAUUGUCUCAUGUUCAGGUUCGACUGAUCCAUGAUGUGUCUCAAAAUCUUGUGGUCCGUGUAUAUGGUACAGCGGACCCCAUAGCGGUAAUGUCUCCAAAUAUUGAGAGCGAAUACCACCGCUCCCAACUCCAAAUCAUGAGUAAGGUAUCUCGUCUCGUGCGGCUUCAAUUGUCGCGACACGUAAGCUAUCACUCGUCCUUUCUGCAUGAGGACCGCUCCCAGUCCCGUGAUGGAUGCAUCACAAAAACUUACAAAAUCCUCAAUUCCCUCUGGGAGAGUCAAGAUUGGAGCUUCAAAAAGUCAUUGUGUGAGGGUCUUGAAUGCCCUCUACUGCUCAGGGCCCCACCAGAAAUCCACCCCCUUCUUCGUCAGACGAGUGACGGGUACUACAAUCUUGGAGAAAUCCUGUAUGAAUCUCCGGUAGUACCCUGUCAAUCCCAAGAAGCUCCUGAUAUCCGAGGGAGAUUUUGAAACCUCCCACUACAUAACCGCCUCGAUUUUGGCCGGAUUGACCAAAAUCCCCUCCUAGUUAACGAGGUGUCCAAGGAACUGAACCUCUCAUAACCAAAACUCACACUUUGAGAACUUGGCAUAUAGCCGCUUUCGCCUCAAAACCCCCAAUAGCUCCCGAAGAUGCUCCUCAUGCUGCUCUCAGGUCUUGGAGUACACCAAGAUGUCGUCUAUGAACAUAAUGACCGAGCGAUCGAGCAUCGAUUUGCAGACCCGAUUCAUCAGGUCCAUAAAUACCGUCGGUACGUUGGUGGGUCCAAACGGCAUCACCACAAACUCGUAAAGUCCAUAACGAGUGUGGAACACAGUCUUCUCCACGUCCUCCUCCCUAGCCCUGACCUGAUGGUACCCGAACCUUAGGUCUAUUUUGGAGAACCAAGAUGCUCCCUGCAACUGAUCGAAAAGAUCAUCUAUCAUUGGGAGUGGAUAACGGUUCUUCACCAUCAACUUGUUCAACUCCCGAUAGUCAAUGCACAUCCGGUGUGAACCAUCCUUCUUCCUGACGAACUGAAUCAGCGCUCCCCAUGGAGAACUGCUCGGACAAAUGAACUGCUUGCCCAGCAGUUCCUGCAGCUGUGAUAGAGCUCCUACAUCUCUAGUGGUUCCAACUGGUAUGGUGCCUUGGUCUAACUUCCUAAGCUACCCCAAAUCUCCAAAUUGUAUAUCUAACUUCCUAAGGCCCAGAUUCCACGUAAAGUUGCAAACUUUACGUACAUGCAAGGUCUUAAAGGCUUAGAACACCCAAAACCAAGUCUAAAAUGAGUUUUAGGGCAUGGUGAGAGGUAAAUACGAGAUAAAGUUGAUAGCUUUAUGAAUUUGGGACCUAGAGGAGUCCAAAUCUGAAUUUAAACUUUAGAUCAUGGCCAAUACCCGAAGUAACUCCAUAACAACCUAGAAAUAGCCCUAAAAUUAAGCAUGGAAAGAUCUAGCUAGAGAGAAGUCAAGGUAACGACUGGUUACCUUCCAGAUGAUGCCAAGAUGAAGUAGAAGUCAGAUCCAAAAGCUUUUCCUUGUUCCAAGCUCCUUAGACUUCAAGUCGUCUCCACAAAUACACCUUCCAAGCUCUGGGAGUCGGGGUGUUACAAUUAUAGAUAGCUAAACCAAUCUGGAACACGGGUGUUACAACUCUCCCCCACUUAAAUUAGAUUUCGUCCUCAAAAUCAUUCCUUACUACUCCUACUUCCACACAGAUGACCAUGCCAAAGCUUCCUGGAUUCCGAUUAGGAUUAAGAACUCCUCUCAUACAGACGACCGCUAUCAACUUUAGUAACAAAGCCCAAAUCUUAGCAGAGAUCACAUAUCCUAAUGAAGAACGAUCCUUAAAUCUCCGUCCUCAACCAUCAAAAGAAGGUCCAACUGCCUUGCCUGAGACUGAAAACCAUAUAAUAUGUUUAAAUUUCAGGCAUAUAAAACCAUCCCAUACCACAUCCAUAAUAACUUCACUCUGCAACCCGAACCAAACGAAUCCUUUCGAACCUGAAUUAUCACGCUGAUAACUGGAUAACAGAUACCCUGACCUUUCAACGAUGCCAAUAACCUUGAACCUUAACACAAGUGGUACUCCCACUAAAAGUAUCAACUAUUGGUGCCAAACCAAAUACAUAACUAACAUCCUGAUCAAAAAUUCGAAUAAUUAGCCUAUUCGAGAUCCCCAAUGAUUCCAUGUAAUGCUUAGACUAGGUAUUAUUUAUUUCUCAGUAUUUUUGGAUUUUGGACUGGAUCUCGACGAGUUGGGGAGCUCCAACUCAUCAUGUAGAGAUUUAUUUGGACGCGGGUUAAGGACUAUACUCGACGAGUUGGGGAGCCCCAACUCGACGAGUAGACGCUGGAAAGGAAAUUCCUUUCAGGUUUUGUACCAUAUUUAAAGGCCUUAAACCCCUUUGUUAGCCUCCCUCAUCACCCCCAUUAUCCAGAGAAACCCUAGUUCGUGUUUUUCCUAUCAUUAUGAGUGUGUGAGAGCUUAAAGAGUGCAUUCUUGGUGUUUGUUUGAAGAGGCUUGAAUGAGGAGGUGCAUAGCCGAAGGAAGAGGUUGUAGAUCCGGUGUCUUCUUUGUUGAGGUAGUUAUAUUGAGGUAUAAGGCUGAUACCUUGAUCAUUCAUUUGCUAGAUCUCUCCAUUAGAGUGUUUUGUUUCAUCUUAGCUUAUUCUUGGGUCAUUCUUGGAUUUGAGCAUGACUUGAAGCUAGAAUUCAGAUCUAGACAUCCCAUGGACUCUUUUGACGUAAAGUUGCCAUUUUUAUCAAGUCAUGGCCCUCCCUCAUAACCUAAAUCCCAUAACAAGACAUGUUGGAGUGUUUUAUCCCCUUAAUGCCAUGCAGGGACAUAAGGUUAGAAACAUUGUGUGAAUAAACCACCCUAGGACCUCAGAUUUGUAAUAUAAAACGUUGAAGCAAAGAGUUAGAGGCUUAAUGGGUCAAGAUCCUCUUCAAAGGAGCUAGGGUUUUGGUCUAAAGAUUAUUAGAUGAUCUCGGGGGGUAAAGUUGGAAACUUUACCCUCUUAGACGUCUCUAUGGUUAGGGGUCUGAAGUUUGGAACCUUUGGAUUCGAGAAAAAGGGGCAUAAUGCAUUAAGUGGGUUGACAGACUAAGGAACUCGACAAGUUCACAGGGGAACUCGAUGAGUUGGCUUAGGGUUUACCCGAUCUUCUGGACACUGUUCGAACUCGACGAGUUGAUGGGAUAACUCAGCGAGUUAACUGGGAUUUUUCCUAGUUUUCUGAGAACUGAAGGAACUCGAUGAGUCAGCAAGUGCACUCGACGAGUUGGGUCAACAUGGACUGUUGACCUUGACUUUGACUUUGACUUUGACUUUUACUUUGAAUCUGAACAUGGUUAGGGAUUAGAAGUUUGGAACCUUUGGAUUUGAGAAAAAGGGGCUUAAUGCAUUAAGUGGGAUGACAGACUAAGGAACUCGACGAGUUCAUAGGGAACUCGACAAGUUGGCUCGGGGUUUCCCCGAUCUUUUGGACACUGUUCGAAAUCGACGAGUUGAUGGGAUAACUCUGCGAGUUGACUAGGAUUUUUCCCGAUUUUCUGAGAACUGAAGGAACUCGACGAGUCAACAAGUGCACUCGACGAGUUGGGUCAACAUGGACUGUUGACCUUGAUUUUGACUUUGACAUUGACUUUGACUCUAACCAUGGUGGACCAAGUUUGACUUUCAAGGUGUCUUUGGUAUUUCGAGAUUUUGACCAAGUUAAUCACAUCGUGAUUGUAGGCAGUUUAGUUUAGAGUUGUGAGUCGGGAUUUAAUCGUAUGAGCUCAACAUUUCUUGAAAGGUGAGUCUCCUCACCAUACUAAUGGAUCGAAGGCACCAAAGGCCGACCCAUUUUGUGUUAUGUGGUACACUAGUUGAUGUGGUGAUAUGUGGUAUACUAGUUGGUUAUAUGUUAUGUGGUAUGAUAGGUGUUUAUGUGAUAUUUGCAUGAAAGACCAUUAGAUGUCAGACCAUGUAGGGGAGCCCAUGGCUUUCCAGGUAAGGAUCAUGGGGGAGCCCAUGGCACUUGGAUGUCAGACCAUGUGGGGGAGCCCAUGUCACUUGGAUGUCAGACCAUGUAGGGGAGCCCAUGGCUUUCCAGGUAAAGACCAUGGGGGAGCCUAUGACACAUAGGUGUAAGACCUCAGGGGGAACCCACGACAUCCUGGAGUAAGACCCUGAGAGGAGCCCACGACAUCCUUAUAUGAUUAUAUACAUGACUUAUGUGAUUGAUAUGGAUUAUAUGAUUAUGUGGAUUAUGUGGGGUAUGCUCUUGGGAACUCACUAAGCAUUAGCUUACAGUUUGUUGGCUGUUUUAGGUACUUCAUGAUCUAAGGGCAAGAGCCCGACGUGCUGGGGCGGCGUGCACUCUUUGGCGUAUUAUUUUGGACACUCUGAUAUUGUGAACAAUUUAAUUGAUGUUAUGGAUUUUUGAAAAUGAAUGUGAUUGGGAUUUUAUAUCUUAUGAAAAUGAUUUUGUUAAUUAAAAAUGAAAAAUUUUUAUUGGAAAUUUGGGUUGUUACAAGUUGGUAUCAGAGCCUUUGUUUGAGGGAUUCGGGCACACCCUCGGGUGUGUUAGAAAUCAAACUGAGGAAAUGGUAAAAUUGUUUUCAAAAUCAAAGUUAAAAACUUUUAAACCAAUUUCUCGUAAGAAAAAGGGAGAGUGGAAUGCACGUAAUCGGCCGAGCUUAAGUAAGUAUUUUUUUCCCAAGUAUGUUAGCCAUUCUAUGUUGAUAUUCAGAAUGUGAUAAUCGUAUGAAUCUUGCUAUGUGUAUGCUUUCAAAAUUGUAUACAGUUAGGGUCUUAUAGCCUCAGAAUAAUUGAUUUGGACUUAUUUCCUAUUCAUUGUUUGGUUUUGGUCUUAGGGCAGAGUCUGGUAUUCGAACGUCAGUUUGAUCAUGUUCUGUGUAUAAUUUGCAUGCAUAGGGCAACCUGUUAUGAUUGAUAUGAGUUCUAGUUUGAUGGGAUUGAGCAAAUAUUAGGAUAGCCUAGGAUUUGAGCUAUGUAGUAGUUUGUGAGCUAUGUUUUGUUCUGGGAUGAAUUAGAGUUAUCAGGUAGAGCCUUGGGGAAGGUACAGGUAGGUGUGGAAGGUAGUAUUGGGCCUGUACUACUAAAAAACACAGGACUUGUAUCCAAACUAAUCUUAGAUCUGGAAACUCUAAGGAGAAUUAGUGUGGAAGGAUCCCCUUUUUGAAUAUCCUGAUCAUUAUGUCUUAUGUUAUUUCAGUGCAGUAUGGUGAUGGCAUGUUAUGGAGCAGGGGGAGUCAGGAUCAAGAUCAAGAUCUGGGUAUUAGCCCCGUACGAAGCGCCUAAGUUCUUUGGGGUCAAGGACCCCAUAGUUAGUCGACGCUGGGCGGCAAACAUGGAGAAUGACCAGCGUAUGAGCUCUUGCCCCGAGGUGGCAAAGGUGGGGUUUGCUUCGUGUGUGUUGAGGGACCAAGCCAGGGACUGGUGGGAGGAGGAGACCCACCAGGUGGGAUUAGCGGGAGUGGCUAAGAUGUCAUGGGAGGAGUUUGUUAGGCGUUUUGAGUUGGAGUUUGCACCACCCAUCGAGGUGCAACGGAUUGUGAGGGAGUUCCAGGAGCUACAACAGACCACCGACACUGUGGCGGAGAUCACUGCCAAGUUUCGGGAACGAGCACUAUUGAUCUCGUAGUAUGCCGCAGAUAAGGAUAUGAGGAGGAUGAGGUAUCAUUCCAUGUCGAGGGAUGAUAUCCAUGAGUUUGUGAGCUUUUCAGUGUGCAAAACCCUGAAUGAGAUGGUGGAGAAGGCUCGAGAGCGGGAGAUGGAGUUAGAGUUCUACACCAAGCGGAAGCCAGAGCAGGUCCAGACAGAUGUAGGUCAGGAUAAAAAGCCUAAGACCUCUGAUUCUUCCAGUAGGGGCCAGCAGGGCCAUGACAUGUGUGCCAAGUGCGGUAAGUCGCACAAUGGGAUUUGUCGAGCAGCAGGCUCGGGAUGUUACACGUGUAGUCAACCGGGCCACCUGAGCAGGGGUUCCCCCAAGAAGGGCUUGAUUUGUUUCCACUGCAACCAGACCGACCAUAAAAUGGUCGAUUGUCCAAGGUUGCAGGGAGGAGGGGGAGCAGUGGUGGCGCCUGCGCCCACCAACAUUAGGAUCAUUGAUGGCCACCAUGCCAAGGUGGAAGCUCCUGCGGUGAAGAGCCGCGCAUUUCAGAUGACUAAAUAGGAGGCUCGAGCUGCACCUAACGUUAUGGUUGGUACNNNNNNNNNNNNNNNNNNNNNNNNNNNNNNNNNNNNNNNNNNNNNNNNNNNNNNNNNNNNNNNNNNNNNNNNNNNNNNNNNNNNNNNNNNNNNNNNNNNNNNNNNNNNNNNNNNNNNNNNNNNNNNNNNNNNNNNNNNNNNNNNNNNNNNNNNNNNNNNNNNNNNNNNNNNNNNNNNNNNNNNNNNNNNNNNNNNNNNNNNNNNNNNNNNNNNNNNNNNNNNNNNNNNNNNNNNNNNNNNNNNNNNNNNNNNNNNNNNNNNNNNNNNNNNNNNNNNNNNNNNNNNNNNNNNNNNNNNNNNNNNNNNNNNNNNNNNNNNNNNNNNNNNNNNNNNNNNNNNNNNNNNNNNNNNNNNNNNNNNNNNNNNNNNNNNNNNNNNNNNNNNNNNNNNNNNNNNNNNNNNNNNNNNNNNNNNNNNNNNNNNNNNNNNNNNNNNNNNNNNNNNNNNNNNNNNNNNNNNNNNNNNNNNNNNNNNNNNNNNNNNNNNNNNNNNNNNNNNNNNNNNNNNNNNNNNNNNNNNNNNNNNNNNNNNNNNNNNNNNNNNNNNNNNNNNNNNNNNNNNNNNNGGUAUAUUCACUUUUCCCAUAUAUAUAUAUAUAUAUAUAUAUAUAUAUAUAUACAUAUACAUAUAUAUAUAUAUAGGGACCUUUUUGGUCAACGGUAUGUCAACUCAUGUUCUUUUCGAUUUGGGAGCUACUCAAUCAUUCAUAUCUCUUGAGUUUAGCAAGAAGUUCUGGGAUGCUCCGGGGACUUUGGAUUCCCCGCUGGAGGUUGAGAUUGCUGAUGAUCGCACCGUGAGUGUUGUGAGGGUAUAUCGGGGCUGUGUGUUGAAUGUGUUUGGGGAGAGGUUACAUUAUGAUUUGGUUCUGAUACUGUUGCGAGGAUUAAAGGUGAUCAUUGGGAUGGAUUGGUUGGGGGCCAACGGGGCCAUGAUAGAUUGUGAGCGCCAGCUGGUGAGAGUUCGAACCCUAAGUGGGGGAGAAAUGGUUAUUCAUGGAGAGAGGCCUCGCAGGGGACAACCAUCUGUUCAACUGCGAGGGAUAGGAGACUUCUUCAUCAAGCUUAUUCGGGAUUCUUGGUGUAUGUAUCGGAUAGGAGGGUUGAGACCCUGACAAAUUUGGGUAGUGUAUCGGUUGUACAGGAUUUUCAGGAUGUCCUUCCCGAAGAGUUGCCUGGGGUGCCUCCGGAGAGACUAGUAGAGUUUCACAUUAAUUUAGUGCCAGGUGACGCUACGAUAGCCAAGGCACCGUACCGGCUAGCUUCGCCCGAGAUGCAGGAGUUGUCUACGCAGCUUCAGGAGCUGCUAGACUAAGGUUUUAUUCGUCCGAGCAGUUCCCCGUGGGGAGCAUCGAUCCUGUUUGUGAACAAGAAGGACGGGUCAUGCAGGAUGUGCAUCGAUUAUCGGGAGUUGGACAAGCUAACGGUGAAAAACUGUUAUCCGCUUCAAGGAUCGAUGAUUUGUUCGAUCAGCUGCAGGGUGCAUCUUGGUUUUCCAUGAUUGAUCUUCGGUCCGGGUACCAUCAGAUGAGGAUUAGGGAUGAGGAUAUACCGAAGACAACUUUCAGGACUCGGUACGUUCACUAUGAGUUUGUGGUGAUGCCCUUCAGGCUCACCAAUGCCCCAACAACGUUCAUGGACUUCAUGAACAGGGUGUGUAGGCCGAUGUUGGAUCAGUUUGUGAUCGUUUUCAUCGAUGAAAUCUUGGUCUAUUCUAAGACCAAGGAGUAGCAUGGGCAGCAUCAGAGGGAGUUAUUUGAGACAUUGAGGACGGAAAUGCUUUAUGCCAAGUUCUCAAAGUGUGAUUUCUGGUUAUGAGAGGUGCAAUUUUUAGGGUACAUCAUCAACCAAGAGGGUAUCUCGGUUGAUCCAGCCAUGGUUGAGGUAGUAAUGCGGUGGGAAGUACCGAAGAAUGCAUCUGAGAUCCGUAGCUUCUUGGGUUUAGCGGGGUACUAUCGGAGAUUCAUCCAGGAUUUCUCAAAGAUCGUCGUACCUUUAACCCGCUUGACCAAGAAGAAUGUGACUUUCCGGUGGGGCCCAGACUAGCAGUUGGCUUUCGAGACCUUGAGACAGAGGUUAUGUGAGGCCCCGAUUCUAGUACUACCCGAGGGAUUGGAUGAUUUGAUAGUGUAUUGUGAUGCGUCGAUCUCAGGGUUAUGGGAGGAUUUGAUGCAGGGGGCAUGUGAUCUCGUAUUCCUCGAGGCAGCUGAAGCCUCAUGAGACAAAUUACCCCACUCAUGACCUGGAAUUGGGGGCGGUGGUGUUUGCCCUCAAAAUCUAGAGGCAUUAUUUGUACAGAGUUCGGUUCACCAUCUUUACUGACCACAAAAGUUUGAAGUACUUGAUGGAUCAGCAGAACCUCAACAUGCGGCAUACGAGAUGGUUGGAUGUACUGAAAGAUUACGACUAAGAGAUUUUAUACCAUACAGGGAAGGCCAACGUGGUGGCAGAUGCUUUGAGCUGCAAGCCGACAGGUGCUCCGAUCGGGAACGUUUAUUUGAGGGUGACGGUGGUUUCUCCAUUGUUAGAGAUGAUCAAGGGAGCUCAGGUGGAGGGUUUGAAGAAAUAGAAUUGGAAGAUAGAGCAGAUUCGGGUCAGAUUCCCUUAUUUGUUCGGGAUGGUCAGGAUAUUUUGACACAGUGUGGCCAGGUAUGGGUACUGGUAUCCAGAGGUGUGAGGCAAAAUAUCGUGGAGGAGACACACAAAUCCAAGUUCUCUAUUCACCCAGGGGCCACAAAGAUGUAUAGAGAUCUGAGGUUGAGUUACUGGUGGCCCUGCACGAAGUCGGAUAUCGCAUGGUUCGUGGAGCGGUGCUUGAACUGUAGGAAGGUCAAGGCCGAACAUCAUAGGCCUAACGACAAGGUUCAGCCGCUUACCUAUUCUUAUGUGGAAGUGAGAAUAUAUCACCAUGGACUUCAUCACAAAGUUACUGAGGACAGCGAGGGGAUUGGAAUUCAUUUGGGUCAUUAAGGAUAGGUUGACGAAGAGUGCUUAUUUUAUUCUGAUCCCCGAGAGCAUCUCUCCUGAGAAAUUAGCAGAUACUUAUGUGCGAGAGGUGGUGGUUAGGCACGGGGUGCUAGUUUCAGUGGUCUCUGACCGGGAUGUCCGGUUUACAUCCAGAUUUUGGAGGAAGUUCCAUAAGGAACUGGACACACAAUUACGCUUCACCACUACAUACCAACCCCAGAAAAACGGCCAGAGCGAGCAAACGAUCUAGACGCUCGAGGAUAUGCUACGAUGCGUAUUAGAUUUUAGAGGGAGUUGGGAUACAUACUUCCCACUAGCAGAGUUUUCAUAUAACAAUAGUUAUCAUGCUAGUAUCAACCGACCCCCGUUUGAGAUGUUGUAUGGUCGGAGGUGUAAGACCCCAGUUUAUUGGGGUGAUGUUGGGCACCGAGUCAUGGGAAGCACCGAGGUGGUGCUUAAGACUACCGAGUUGAUCCAACAAGUACGCGACAGGUUGUGAGUCACGCAGAGCCGUCAGAAGAGAUAUGUUGAUCGGCAUUACUCAGAUCUUGAGUUCCAGGUGGGAGAUUUCAUCUUGUUGAAGGUGUCAGCAUGGAAGGGUGUCAUUAGGUUUCAGAAGAGGGGAAAGUUAGGGCCUCGAUAUAUUGGACCGUUCAGGAUUUCCGUCUGGAGUGGGCAAGCUGGCUUACCAUUUGGAUAUGUCGGACGAGCUUAGCUAGAUUCAUAACACCUUCCAUGUGUCUCAGCUCCGGAAGUGUGUCGUUAACGAGUCUGCAAUCAUUUCCUUGGAUGAUAUUCAGGUUGAUGAGAGCCUGAAUUACGUGGAGAAACCAAUAGUGAUUUUAGAUUGGAAAAUGAAAGCCCUACAAAACAAGGAAGGGAGGCUAGUUAAGGUGUAAUGGCAGCACCUUAUAGGCUCCGAGUGGACUUGGGAGUCGGAGGACGAGAUGAGGAAGCAUUAUCCGGACCUUUUUGCAUCAGCACACUUCGAGUAUGAAGUCUACUUCAAGUGGGGGAGAUUUGUAAUGUUUAGAACAUGUAUUAUUUAUUUCUCAAUAUUUUAGGGUUUUGGACUGGAACUCGACAAGUUGGGAGAUCCAACUCGUUGUGUAGAGAUUUCUUUAGAUACAGGUUAAGGACUCUACUCGACGAGUUAGGGAGUCCCAACUCGACGAGUAGACGCUAGAAAGGAAAACCCUAAUUUUCGGGGUUUGUACCCUAUUUAAAGGCCUUAAACCCCUUUGUCAGGCUCCCUCAUCACCCCCUUUGUCCAUAGAAACCCUAGUUUGUGCUUCUUCUAUCAUUGUGAGUGUGUGAGAGCUUGAAGAGUUCAUUCUUGGUGUUAGUUUGAAGAGGAUUGAAGGAAGAGGUGCAUAGCUGAAGGAAGAGGCUGUAGAUUCGGUGUCUUCUCUGUUGAGGCAGUCAUAUUAAGUUAUAAAGUUGAUACCUUGAUCAUUCAUUUUCUAUAUCUCUCCAUUAGAGUGUUUUGUGUCAUCUUAGCUUAUUCUUGGGUCAUUCUUGGAUAUGAGCAUGACUUGAAGCUAUGACUUCAGAUCUAGACAUCUCAUGGCCUCUUUUGACAUAAAGUUGCCAUUUUUAUCAAGUCAUGGCCCUCCCUCAUGCCCCAAAUCCCUUAAUAAGCCAUGUUGGAGUGUUUUGCCCCUUAAUGUCAUGCAUGGACAUAAAGUUAGAAACUUUACAUGAUUAAACCACCCUAAUACCUCAAAUAUGCAAUAUGAAAUGUUGAAGCAAAAUGUUAGAGGUUUAAUGGGCCAAUACCCUCUUUAAAGGAGCUAGGGUUUGGUUCUAAAGCUUAUUAGAUGAUCUCCGGGGGUAAAGUUGAAAACUUUACCCUCCUAGACGUCUUUAUGGUUAAGGAUCUGAAGUUUGGAACCUUUUGAUUCGAGAAAAAGGGGCAUAAUGCAUUAAGUGGGUUGACAGACUAAGGAACUCGACGAGUUGGCUUAGGGAUUCCCCAAUCUUCUGGACAUUGUUCGAACUCGACGAGUUGAUGGGAUAGCUCGGCGAGUUGACUGGGAUUUUUCCCAGUUUUCUGAGAACUGAAGGAACUCGACGAGUCAGCAAGUGCACUCGACGAGUUGGGUCAACAUGGACUGUUGACCUUGACUUUGACUUUGAAUCUGACCAUGGUCGACCAAGUUUGACUUUAAGGGUAUCUUUGGUAUUUCGGGAUUUGACGAAGUUAAUCCCAUGGUGAUUGUAGGCAGUUGAGUUCGGAGCUGUGAGUCGGGAUUUGAUCGUAUCAGUUCAACAUUUCUUGAGAGGCGAGUCUCCUCACCAUACCAAUGGGUCGAAGGCACCAAGGCCGACCCAUUUUGUGUUAUGUGGUACACUACUUGAUGUGGUGAUAUUUUGUAUACUAGUUGGUUAUAUGCUAUGUGGCAUGAAAGUUGUUUAUGUGAUAAGAUGAAAGACCAUUGGAUGUCAGACCAUGUGGGGGAGCCCAUGGCUUUCUAGGUAAAGACCACGGGGGGAGCCCAUGGCACUUGGAUGUCAGACCAUGUGGGGGAGCCUAUGGCUUUCCAGGUAAAGACCAUGGGGGAGCCCAUGACACAUAGGUGUAAGACCUUAGGGAGAGCCCACAGCAUCCUAAAUUAUGACCUUAGGAGGAGCCCAUGACAUCCUUAUAUUAUUAUAUGCACAGGUUAUGUGAUUGAUAUGGAUUAUAUAAUUAUGUGGGGUAUCCUCUGGGGAACUCACUAUGCAUUAGCUUACAGUUUGUUGGUUGUUUUAGGUACUUUAGGAUCUAAGGGAAAGAGCCCGGCGGGAUGGCUCGACGUGCACUCUCUGGCGUUUUAUUUGGGACACUCUGAUAUUGUGAAUAAUUUAAUUGAUGUUAUGGAUUUUUGAAAACGAAUGUGAUUGGGAUUUUAUAUCUUAUGAAAAUGAUUUGGUUAAUUAAAAAUGAAAAAAUUUUAUUGGAAAUUUGCGCUGUUACAUUCCACAUUGACCUUCGAAUAAACUGGGAUGCAAAAUCCUUACCCAUUUGUUGAGUUUGACAAUAUCACACACCGUCUUACAACAAGACUCUGCCUAAGAUUCUUACUGAUAAAGGCUACCCUAGCCUAUCUGUCAUAUGGAUCCAACCCACUAAUCAUAGAGCUUCCCUUCGCCAAACUUUAUCUAACGCCCCAACCAUACCAGACACAAACGGGUCCUACCCUCAUGAAUCAUACACUUACCAAUUCACGAUACAUCGUGACACCAUUUAGUCCAUGUAACGUCCUGUAAAUCAUGACAUAAUUUUGUUUAGAUUAAUAAAUUGUUAAUACAUAUCCUUCCCAUAAAACCGAGGUAGCCAAGAUUUAACAAAACGUCAUCUAAUCAGAGUAAUUCAUAGAAUGCAAAAACUUGUGGUGUGUGCUCUGCAAUCAUCCCGAGCUCUUCCAUUUGAAAGCUAAAGUACCUGAAAUGUAAAUUGAAAAUCGUAAGCACAAAGCUUAGUGAGUUCGCCAAAAAGACGACAUAACAUACAACCACGAAAUAUCAUGCAACAUACAUAUAGUUGCCAUGGGCUCCUCCCAUGGUCUUUUCCUGGAAUGUCAAGGGCUCCUCAUGGUCUAAUAUCCAAGUGCCAUGGGCUCCUACCAUGGUCUUUGCCUGGAAUGUCAUGGGCUCCCCCAUGGUAUGACAUCCAAGUGACAUCGGCUACCCCAAUGGUCUUUCAUGCAAGUAUCAUAGAGACAACUAACAUUCCACAUAACACGUAAUGGGUCGGCAUUGGUGCCUUCGACCCAUGGAUAUAGUGAGAAGACUCAUCUUGCUUUGCUGGAUCCCACGGAUAAAUCUCUGGCUACUGGUUGAACGAACCCGGAACUAUCAAUAUCAAAACAACACCCAAUUAACAAUUGGGUUCCAAUCUAUAACCAUAAAUCCAAACUUGGGAUAAAAAUACCAUUUUACCCCUAACCUAGCUUGGUCCAAGACUUAGGCGCAAACUCACAAUCUACAAGACUCAAAAGGCCAAAUAAUCAACCAAGGCCCAAAUAUGGCCCAAUUUUCCAAAUUGGGCCUACACCCUUUACAUGGGCCUUACCCUAAAGCCCAACCAUUCUUCCUAGUCCAAAACACUUGUACUAAGAUGGCCCAUUAUUAAAUUAAACACCCAAGCCCAAAAGAAAGCCCAAACUUGAGGCCCAAAAUGCAAACCCUCAUCCGACUGAGUACACACCGCAUACUCAGUGGGUACACUAAGAGUGCGCCCAAGAAACCCAGUAUGCCCCGCAUAUGAGGAGGUACGCCCUGCUUAUUGACCCUGCCCACAUCCAACCUAUAAACAUCUUAAUCUCUUAAGCCAAGACGUCCAAAACCUCAAAAUAGCUAAAUAUAAGUGACUUGAUCCAUAAAGUCGAAGGCUUUAAACCUUUUUCAUGGCUAAAUGAAGCCCAACACCAAAGAUGAACUCCAAAGGUCAAAAUCACUCCAAAAUGUCUUAAAAACUUAUUAAUACCUUAAGACCUUAGCCCAAAGGGACCAAAAUCAUAACAAAGUGCCACCUAGCUAGAACUACAAGAAAGAGUUGUCAAGGUUGAGACUUUAUACGUCCAAAAGUUAAAUCUAGGUGAAAAAACCCUGGAUCAAAGAGCUCCAAGUCAAGCAAUGACUCUUCAAGAAGUUCCUUCUUCCUCCUCAAGCACCAAAACACACAUAAAUCACCUUGAAGCUCAUGAAUCAAUCAAAUGGGGGCUAAGGAUCGAUUUCUAGGUUUAGAAGGAUGGAGGUUGAAGAUAUUAGGGUUAGGUUAUGAGAUAAGGAGCUUGAAUAGGGUCCAAGACCCUAAAAUUGGGUUUUGGUGUAACGGGAUUACUCCCAGCGUAUAUAUGGUACGCCCAGCGUACCCUGUAGAGCACCUGCGACCAUCCUGAUCAGUACGCCCUACGUACACUGAGGUACGCGCCAUGUAUUGCUUUUUUCCCUAGUACGCUACGCGUACACCUGUGUACGCCCUGCGUACCCGGCUAAGCCCUAAAACCACCAAACUUCCAAUGGCCAUAACUUCUUCGUUAUAAGUCUGUUUCCAAUGAACUUUAUAUCCACGGAAAGGUGACGAGAAGCCCUACAAUUCUAUCAACUUACCUCCAUCUAAGAACUUUCUGAACAAAAACCCAAAAUUCAUAAAGGACUGAGAUAUCAAAUUAAGAUUAUACCCUUGGGCUCCGAAACACAAACGAACACCCGGAUCACUUAGACUAUAAUACCCACAUUCAAAAAGGGCCAAAUCCUUUCUUCCCCAAGGCCCAAAGCAUUAUGACGACUGAUGACCGGGCCACGGACCCGAACAAUGAAACAAUUCAAAACCGAGUGUUACAAUCCACUUGAACGUUAAGAUUAGAGAACACCAUGAUCUUGCCACUAUUCCAUUACUGAUUUGGGGAUUUACCACAAAUACUACAUGCCCUUAUCAUAAUAUAAAAUGCCUGAAUAGCCUGCAUGCCCAAGAUAACAGAAGUAAUCAGGCCUUGACUACGGGUUUCACCCAAGCUAGCACAACCAAAUAGGGCUCGCCCACAGUCUCACCGAAGCUAGCAUAGCCAAAUGGGACUCGCCCUCAAUCGAGAGUUAUACAUCAUACUUUGAAAAGAUAGAAGAUAAGAACACUGCUCCAAAUGCCAACUCUACAGGUCACCUAAACAAAAAACAAUGACCUAUACUCAAACUACAACACAAAAUACCUAAAAUUCCCCUAAGUCAAACUUGGUUGAAGUCAAAGUCAAAGUCAAAGUCAAAGUCAAGUCCAAAUAGUCACCACGUCGUGGCCAUCCUUGGCCACACCGUGGCUAUUAGUCAACAAAGCAGACGGGUCUCGACCCAGUCACCAUGCCGUGGCGACCUAGGCCACAAUGUCGGGACUGGUCUGGACAACUUAAACCAUUAAGUUAUUUUUCCCAACUUCAAGAGAUCUAAAGCUCAGAUCUGGUCCUAUUUAAGGUCCAAGCGGAUAAAGUUUCCAACUUUUUCCCUUUAGACCUUCCAAAAGAUAGAGAUCUCACUUCUAUAUCUAACUAAGGCAAAAAUAUAACUUAACUUAACCCAUUAAGCACUUUUUCUUGAAGACUAUUAGAUCCACACUUGCAGAAAUGUUUCUAGCAUCUUAUAACCACAUAAAACCCUUCCUUUCCAAACAUGCAUGUUCAAUGCAUGCCAUGGACUCUUAUGAUGGGUAAUCUAGGUUACAACCACAAUGCUAUAAGUGGAAAACGAUCAAAACAAUUCAAUUGAUUAUGGCACAUGCAACCUAGUUUGAACUAUGUCUUUCACAUAUAGCAACAUACUAUGAACACUAGCAUACAAAAACUUUCCUAUGAAUAACCUAAUUUAUAAGAUAAGAAAACUAACCUUUAGAUUGUUAUUGUAAACAAUCUUGUAUCCUUCUUCUUCAAUACUUUAGUAGCUAGCACCACAAGCGUCGUGCCUCUAAUGGUUCACACCCAAGGCUAGCAACUAAGGAUUAUGGAGAGGGGGAAGGAGAAUUUUGGCCAGAAGUCUCUUAGGGUUAGGAGUGUCGAAAUUGUGAAGGCCAAGGCUCCUUAUAUAGGCGAGGUAGCUUAGAGCCAAAGCUAGGGUUUAAGUGAGGAAACCCUAAUCCUUUUGCUUAGUGACCAAGCAGCCCACAAGCUUCCAUCCAAGAGCCUUUGGACAAAAAAUCUAGGCCCUUACUAGAAGAUUUCGUCCAAGCUCUCACAAGGAGGUUCUAAAGCAUUUUCCUCAACUAUCAAUAAAUUUCCAAACAACCCCUGCACUAUAGAUUAAUCCAAUUAAUUCCAAUUAAUUUCUGAUUAAUUAUUUAUCAAAUAUCAUAAUAUCUAAUUAAUAUAUUAUUCUCAUAAUAUAUAAAAAAUUAUAUAUUUUAAUUUAUUAAUCAAAUAAUAAAUCAUUCUCUCUCUCUCUCUCUCUCUCUCUCUCUCCAAAAUAAUCAUGUCUAAUUUCUAGCUUUUAGAGCAAAAACAUAACUUAGCUUAACCCUUUAAGCACUUUCUCUUGAAGACUAUUAGAUCCACACUUGCAGAAAUGUUUCUAGCAUCUUAUAACCACAUAAAAACCCUUCAUUUCCAAACAUGCAUGUCCAAUGCAUGCCAUGGACUCUUAUGAUGGGUAAUCUAGGUUACAACUACAAUGUUAUAAGUGGGAAAUAAUCAAAACAAUUCAAUUGAUUAUGGCACAUGCAACCUAUUUUGAUCUAUGUCUUUCACAUAUAGCAACAUACUAUGAACACUAGCUUACAAAAACUUUCCUAUGAAUAACCUAAUUUAUGAGAUAAGAAAACUAACAUUUAGAUUGUUAUUGUAAACAAUCUCGAAUCCUUCUUCUUCAAUACUUUGGUAGCUAGCACCACAACCGUCAUGCUUCUUAUGGUUCACACCCAAGGCUAGCAACUAAGGAUUAUGGAGAGGGAGGAGGAGAAUUUUGGCCAGUAGUCUCUUAGGGUUAGGAGUUUCGAAAUUGUGAAGGCCAAGGAUCCUUAUAUAGGUGAGGUAGCUUAGAGCCAAAGCAAGGGUUUAAGGGAGGAAACCCUAAUCCCUUUGCUUGGUGACCAAGCAGCCCACAAGCCUCCAUCCAAGAGCCUUUGGACAAAAAUUCUAGGCCCUUACUAGAAGAUUCCAUCCAACCUCUCAUAAGGAGGUUCUAGAGCCUUUUCCUCAACUAUCAAUAAAUUGCCAAACAACCCCUACAUUAUAAAUUAAUUCAAUUAAUUCCAAUUAAUUUCUGAUUAAUUAUUAAUCAAAUAUCAUAAUUUCUAAUUAAUAUAUUAUUCUCAUAAUAUAUUAAUAAAUUAUAUAUUUCAAUUUGUUAAUCAAAUAAUAAAUCAUUAUCUCUCUCUCCAAAAUAAUAAUCUCUAAUUUCUAACUUUGAGAGCAACCCAAAAGAGCUGCUACUAUCAAUUCAAGUUUAUACCAAUUAUAGUUAUGGGCUUAGACAUCUAAUCCAACAGUCUCCCACUUGGAUAAGUCUAAUAACUAUAACUGCCAAUAUAACUUCCAAAUUGAUUAGCAAAUUGUAGCCACCAAAAGUCGUUGUUGAACUUCGACCCAGUCAGUAACGUAUCCUAAGAUAAGUGAUCAUAUAAUCCACUAUUCUGCAAGAUAUCAUUCAGAUAUGAGACAUGGAACAUAAUCAAUCUCUUUCUCUAAUACUUUGUUUCCCGAUUUAUGAUUUGUAAUGACAAGGAAGUACUAAUCGAACACAUCAAUUUAGUCUUGGUUGGGUCCGACACUAUAAGUCAUUACCAAAUCACCGAGGGGCCCAAAGAUAUCGCUUUUCACAUUAAGGAAAAAUGAACAAAUAAACUUUCACUUAUAUGCUUGCACUAUUUACUCAUCUUAUCAUGCACAACAAUAUGUUUUAUAACAUCAAGUUACUGAUUCAUUUUCAUAUUAUCAAUGCACAACCAACUUGUAAACUACAACUCAUAUAUCUUUGUUUAAAGACUAUAAGAUAUUAUUGUCUCAGAAUCACUCGUGAUAAAUUCCAUGAAGUAAUUCUCUGAGCAUGGGUUAAUCCAAUAUUUAAAUUUCCAUUUCAAAGUACUCAUGAAUAUUGCAGCAACACAUUGCCAUGUCUAAAACCCUUUAGACAAUCUAUAAUUCAAUUAAUGACAAUCUUGAUUCACUACGUACUUCCAAAAGUAUGAUCGAAUGUGGAUGUUUGACUAAUCCAAUUAUUUGGGAAGUAAAACAUGCAAAAUGAAACACAAAAUAUACAAUAGACAGAAGGUAGUAAUCCAACUCAUAAAUAAAUCUCCAUUAUUUAAUCACCAAAAGUCAAUUACAUUAUAUUUUGUUACAAUGUUUCAAAAUAACUAUCUAACUACUAAAACUAGUAUAAUCUUUCAGACCAAUGCUCCUAGCAUGUUCAACGUGCUUGACCCUACUUAGACCCUUUGUGAGGGCAUCUGCAGGAUUCUUUUCUGAUGAUACCCUAUUCACGACGAUGUGACCUUCUUCUACUCUAUGUCUAAUGAAAUGGUAUUUUUCUGUCGAUAUAUCUUGAUCUUCCAUGAUCUAUUGGGUCUUUUGUUAAGGAAACCACCCGUUCAUUAUAACAUAAAAUAUCCAUUGGCUCCUUGAUGGCUAGAAUAACUCCAAGGUCUCCGAUGAAGUUCUUCAACCAAAUAGCCUCCUUUGAUGCUUCGCCCGCCACUAUGUACUCUGAUUCACAGGUGGAAUCAGCCACCGUCUCCUGUUUGGAACUUUUCCAGGUUACUACUCCUCCACUUAGGGUAAAAACGCAACCAUAUUGAGAACAAAAGUUGUCUAUGUCUUUUUGAAAGUUGGCAUCACUUUACCUAGUUACUCUCAACAUAUCAUUGCCACCAAGCACAAGGACCCAUUCCUUACUUCUUCGUGGAUCCUUGAGAAUAUUCUUAACUGCUAUCCAGUGAGCUCUACCUGGAUUUCUUUGAUAACGACUGAUCAUGAUUAAAGCAAAAGCCACAUCAGGGUGAGUACAUGUCAUAGCAUACAUGAUAGAUCCAACUGCAGAAUCAUAUGGAACUCUAUUCAUUUCUACUAUCUCUGCAUCAGUACUCGGUCUUUGAGUGUUACUUAGUUUGGUAUUACUCUGUAUAGGCAAUUCUCCUUUCUUGGAAUUCUCUAUACUAAAAUGCUUUAGUACCUUUUUCCAAGUAUGUACUUUGACUAAGUCCAAUUAGUCUUUUACUCCUAUAUCUCAAAAUCCUUAUCCCUAUAAUAUAAGCAGCCUCUCCCAGAUCCUUCAUAGGGAAACACUUUCCAAGCCUAGACUUAACCUCUGGCAAAGUUGGAAUGUCGUUUCCUAUAAGAAGUAUGUCAUCAACAUACAGUGCUAGGAAAGUUACUAUACUCCCACUAUCUUUGACAUAUACACAAGAUUCAUCUUCACUUCUAGAGAAGCUAAACUCUUUGACCUUCUCGUAAAAACAAAUAUUCCAUUUGCGAGAAGCUUGUUUUAGUCUAAAGAUUGAUUUCUCAAGCUUACACACUCUAUAUGGAUACUUUUCAUCCACAAAACCCUCUGGUUGACUCAUGUAAACAUCCUUAGCCAACUUCCUAUUAAGAAAAGCGGGUUUGACAUCCAUUUUCCAAAUUUCAUAGUCAUGAAACGUAACUAUGACUAGCAUUACCCUAGUAGACUUUAUCUUAGCUACUGGUGAGAAGGUAUCUUUAUAGUCAACCCCUAGGGCUUGAGUAAAGCCUUUCGCAACCAUUCGAGCCGUGAAAGUGUGUACCUUUCCAUCCAUGUCACCCUUCUUCUUGAAGAUCCACUUACACCCUACAGUCCUACGACCUGGUACAUUUUCAACCAAAUUCCAAACCUGGUUGUCAUACAUGGACUUGAUCUCGCUAUCCAUUGCCUCUUUCCACUUGGUUGACUCAGGGCCUGACAUUGCUUCCUUGUAGCUAGCUGGUUCAUCUAAAUUUACCAUUGUACUAUCAUUGAUAAAUGUAUCACCAUCUAUAGUGAUAUGGAAACCAGAUAACUCAGGUUACAUUCUAAUUCUAGUGGAAUGCCUAAGAGAUAAUGAUUCGUCAAUUGGUUCAACUUGAAUUUCUUCCUCAGGUUGAGCCCUAGCAUCUUCAGAGGUUCCUUCAUCGUUUGAUUCCUGAAUCUCUUCAAGAUCAAUUGUACUCCCACUGUCCUCUUUAUAUUUGAGCUCUCUCUCUCUCUCUCUCUCUCUCUCUCUCUCAAGACUCCCCUUCAUGCUACAAAGACCACCUUCUCACUAGGUCUGUAGAAUAAAUAUCCAAAAGACUUAUGUGGAUAGUCGAUGAAAAUACAUCUCUUACUUCGAGGUUCAAGCUUGGCGUGAGUCUCUCAUCUAACGAAAGCUUCACAACCCCAAACCUUGAUAUGUGCUAACGAGAGAACCUUCCAUGUCUACAUCUCGUGAGGUGUUUUGGCAACCUUGAAAAGAAUAAGAAUGUGGACGCAGUCUCUAAGGAAUACCCUCAGAAUGAGAUUGGAAGAGAAGCUCAACUCAUCAUGGAAUGAACCAUGUCCAACAAGGUUCGAUUAUGCCUCUCAGCCAUACCAUUAAGUUUUGGUUUCAUAGGAGGUGUCAAUUGUGAAAUUAUUCCACAUUUCUUGAGGUAGUCGUGGAACUCGAUGCUAAGAUACUUACCACCUCUAUCGGAUCUAAGCAUCUUUAUCUUCCUGUCCAAUUGAUUCUUAACUUAAUGUUUAAACUCUUUAAACUUUUUAAAGGUUUCUGACUUAUGCUUGAUUAAGUAGAUAUAACCAUAUUUUCUAUAAUCAUCAGUAAAGGUCACACAGAAUCGAUUUGCAUCCCUUGUGGUGGAUUUGAAGGGCCCACACACAUAUGUGUGUAUGAGAUACGAAAAUCCUUCACCUCUUUCACAAGAACCAGUGAAGGGUGAUUUUGGCAUAUUUCCCAAUAAACAAGACUUGCAUGUAUCAUCUGACCUUAAGUCAAAUGCUUCCAACACUCCAUCCUUUUGGAGUUGGGCGAUGCGUUUCUUGUUAAGUUUCCAAGACGACAAUGCCACAAGCAUGCUUUCUCUAUACCGUUAGACGAAUCAAUUUGAAAAACACUAUUACCUAAAUUGUCUACAAUCAUCGCAAUUUCAUACACACCAUCACAAGGUAAAGCUUCAAAAUAAACAACACCAAUUUUAUAAGCAGAAUUAGAACCAUUCUCAUAAUUAAUAGAAUAUCUAAAACCUUGUUUAAACAAUGCACGAAAAGAAAUGAUGAUUCAUGGCAUCUCUGAUGAGUAGUAACAAUUUAUUAAAUCUAAACUUAACCCACUACUAAGCACUUAGCCAUAAACUCCAAUCUUGGUGGCAGGUGAUGAUCGCCUGUUCCCCAUAAUCAAGUUCAUCCUUCCAUGCUCCACAUCCUCACUUCUUUUUACCCCCUACAAAUCAGAAAAAAUUGUGAAACCUGUUGGAUUAAUGUCUAAGUCCAUAACUAUAAUUGGUAAGACUUGACCCGACCCGGCAUGGUCCAUUUGGGUUGCAUGGCAUCAUGCACUUGGAUAUACUUUAAUGAGAGAAAUAAGACAUUUAUGGUUAUUAAUAUAUUAUAAGUUCUAGUAUAUUAAUAAUAAGAAUAAUAAGAUUACUUAAUUAGUAUUGAUCAAGAAUUAAUCUAGGAUUAAUUAAGUGAUCAAAAGAAGACUAAUUAAAUAUAUGGGUUGAUUGUGUAAAUCAUCCAUACUUGUAUAGUGGGCUAAUGCUCCAUGGAUAAUCAAGUUGGGCUAAAACCCAUAGGAUGGUCCAUGGAUGCUCCAUGGUGUAUUUGUACCCAUGGAUCAUGGAAAUGAAAGGCCAUGUCAAUUAGGGUUUACAUGGUGUAACCCUAACUAUAUAAGCAUCUUAUUCUUGACCAAAAUCGGCCACUAGGGUGUGAAGUAAAAGGGCUAGCCGAUUUCAUGAGUUGUAGAAUUCUCUCAAGUUAUUCUAAGUGUUUUGGUGAUUGUGAUUCCAUUUGAGGCUUCCACACUAUUGGGGCUAGGCACUCAAGCUUCAUGAAGACUUUCUACAUCAAAGAGGUAUGUAUUCUAUCUUGUUACACUCAUUGUUUUGUAUGCUAGAUUAGGAUAAUACCUUGGAAGUUCUUAUUUGCAUGUAUAAUAGAGAAAACAUAGAUCCAAGGUAUUUAGGGUUGCAUGUACACUUAGGAGUGUUAGAAUGCUCAAAACCCAACAGUGGUAUCAGAGCCUAGGCUUGUUUUCUUGUUAUACCUGCAAUAGAAGCUGAAAAAACGAAUCUGGUGCUGUCUGGCCAUCAGACUCGGCGAGUCCAUCAGGAGACUCGACGAGUCCAUGCCUAAAAAGUGAUGAAUUCGAUCCAACUCGCCGAGUUGGUUCAUGCACUCGACGAGUUGGACCCCCAGACAGCAUAUUUUCGAGUUUUUUGGCUAGAAAUGGACUAGGAACAUUACCCUAAGUUGUUUUUGAACUUAUAAACUUGUUUUUGAUGUGGUAAUGUUCAUGCUAAUCCAUUUUCAAAGAUAAUUGUCAAUAGAUUCAUGUUUUGUAUUAGUUUAAGGUUUAGACUAAUUACAUGAAAAAGUUUGAUUUGAAUUAUCUUGUUCUUAUGAGUUGCUUAGAUUAAUAGAAAAGUUGAGUGAAAUAGUUGUUUUCAAUCCAUUUUAAUCUAAGAGUUGAGUAUAAAAUGUGUUUGUGUAACUUGUCCUCAAGUUACAUGAAGAGUCACAUUAAAGACUCAUAAAAUUCAUAAAAGUUGGCAAUGGUUACAAAAUGAAGAGUCUUGUGUCAUUGAAUAAUUUUUUUUGACUCCAUAACUUGUCCUCAAGUUAUGGAAGUUCAAGAGUCACUUCAUUAAAGAAAAAUAUGUAACCAUAAUUAAAUCCAUAAGUUAUAAAAUAAAGAAAAAGUUAGUUCUUUUAUUAGUUUAAAGUCUUCCAUAACUUGUCCUCAAGUUAUGGAACUUGAAGAGUUUUUGGAUUAAAACUACUUUAAACACAUAAGUUAUGGAAUUAAUUAGUUUUGAAUAGUUUCAAAACUUGCCCUCAAGUUUUGGAAUUUGAAAAGUUUUCACUUAUGAAUACUUUAAUUCCAAGUUAGCCCUUAGAAUUUUAAAAGUUAAAAUUCAACCCUUAUACUUUAUAAUAUUAUAAGUUAAUAAUAUAUAUAUGUAUAAGAGUAAAGUCAGUCUUACCGCUAGUACGCCUCAUUCACGAAGCCGGUCUAUAAGGUGGGUAUAAGGUUGUUGCCUAUAAAAUGGCAACUUAAUGGGUGUCCACUCUCACCCACCGCUUGCUUGACUGGUGGAGGGUCGUUAGCCGAACGGGUUUGACAGGACUAGAAUUCUCCCUUCAUUAAAAGUAUUAAUGAUAAUACUAAGUAACUAAACUCUUAAUAAUACCCAAUCUUAGUUACUUAGGAAAAAUGUGAAUAAGGUGCUAAUCCAUGAAAUUACACUUUACACUUUGUCUAAGUCGUUAGUGGAGCGUGUGUGGUUAACCGGCACACUAACUUGGACUUAACAAGGUAGGUAAAGGGUGACUUAAUAUUUAUCAUAGUAUCGAUGGAGCGUGUGUGGUUAACCGGCACAUCGAUUGAGGGGUAAUUUAUUAAGGGUACCAAGUGAUUUGCAUGGUUACUUCACACCUUGUUUUGUGAUCCUCGGCAUCCCAGUCACAAAACCUGAAGGGCACACUCGAGAUUGAAACAUGCCUUUGAAAAGUUCAAUGAAUCUCAAAGAUCUAGGAGUUUCAAAACCAAUUAAAACCUAAUAAUACAUUUCGUUUAUCUUGGUGGAAAUUGGUGAAUCGUCAUUCACCUACCUUCAAAUAUUUUAUAGCUUGGAUUACGGCAUACCUCUUCUAAGUUAUAAAAUAGUUUGUUGGGUCCUAGCCUUAAUAUUUCAUAUUGGGUGUCAUAUUAAGGACUUUAAAUCAACUAUCUUGAAUAUCUCCCAAAAGAUGUCUGGUUUAGACACCUAUGAUCUUCCCAAAUCUCUUGAAACAAGGUUUCCUAAUGAAGAUGAUGUCCCAUGGAUAUCAUACUUCUUCACCUCUUCAAAUUAUUCUCCCUAACCCACAAGUUCUUGAAAAGUUUAAGGUCACUCAGGCCCUAUUGGCAAGGCAAGGUCUAGGUGUGGUCACAUCUUGGAGAUGUAGUCACAUAUUGACAAGCCGGGAGAGUUGGGUGUCAAAGUCUUGAGAAAGUUGGUGGUUCAACCACUUUCUAAGUCACAUAGUGAGUUCCUUUGGGACACCUAUGAAACAGACUAUGACAAGACCCUUAAUGAUCUUAUCUAUUUGCUAAGAUCAACUUCCUAAAACUUUAUGGACAUUGACAAUGAUGACAUUGGAUAUCCAGUAAAGCAUUCUCUUCCCAAUGGAAAGGGAUCGGCCAUAGUCAACUCGGUUGACCAAAUGGUAAAGAGAAAAGCUAAGUCUGUGAUAGUCCCGUGUACCAUUAUCAAAGGGUCCAUAUGUUUAUAUUGCCAAAGGAAGGGGCAUUGGUUGCGAAGCUGCCAAAUUUACCUAAGGAUGUUAAAGUCAAUAAGUUUGACUCUACUUCAGGUAAAGUCCACUAUCUAACUCUGUUAAGUUUCUAUUCUGAGAUUCUUGAUACAUGAUGUGACUGGGUCACAUGGUGAUGUUUUAAGAAUCAAAGAAAAGUGAAGAAACUUAAAGAAAGAAUAUGCUGAAUCUGAUGGCGUAGAUGGAUUUCUAUCGCAUAGUUUGAAGAUCGGAUUCUUGAGCUACUUCUUAGGAGUUAUGAGAUAUUGCUUAGGAAUAGAUAACAACAAGUUUUCAUAUGGAUUGUAAGGAUAAGUUUUUCCGCAAAGUUUUAAAAUAAAAGAAAAUUUUUUUGAUUUUAUUUAUUUUAAAAUAUCCUUACAAUGGCAUUUGAGGAAAAAUUGUUGCUUAUAUGAUUCCAUUAAGAGCAAGAGUGGAAAUAUGAAAUUGAUUCUUUCAUUUGUGGUAAUGUCUAAAUUUACCAAAUAAGGAAAGAUUCUCAUCACCCAAGUUUCAAUUGGACCGGAACUUGGAAUCAUGCAAGUUGUAUAGCAUGAUGAAUGAGAACUUUCAAGUUUUGGAAAAUUAAGACUAAUUACUUGUUCACAUGGAUGUGUGAGUCAAGUAAAGGACUUAGGGAUCGAGUACACAUUCUUGUGCACUGAUUAAGUCCACCACUAAAGAUCGAUAAGAAGAAUCAAAUAAGGCAGAAGGAUAAAAGUUUCUCAAAUCUGAAAAGAUGGGAGAGUACUUUAGUAUCAGUUUUGUGAUCAUCUUAAUGAUUAAGAAACCAUAUCAAAAUUAGUUCUCUAAGGAAAUCUUAGUGCAUUCUUAUGACUAAGAAGAGGAACUUGAAUUGUUGAAAUGGUUAAAUCAAGAAGAUGAGUCAUACUUCGUUCCAAUACAAGUCUUAGAGUCAUACUCCAAGAUUGUCAUUUGAGUGACAUGUCUUAAAGAAGGUUUAAAACACUUGUCAAAUGUAAGAGUAAAAGUUUUCUACUCUUGUACAUUUGAAAUUGGUAAGUUGUGAUGUUUUGGAUAAAACAAAGACCAACUUAGGCCAAUUGGGUAAAGUGUUUUUCUUGAUUAGAAUCCGCACUAUCUCUUGGAUGUUUGACAAGGGAGUCUUAUAUGUCAAGAGGACAGUGGGAGUCUUAAAGGUCUUGAAAGUCUCAAGAAAUAAUCAAGAAUAAAACCUAAAGUUCUUCACUAGCACACGACUUGAGGUUUAUAACCUAUCGUGUUGACAUAUCUGUGCCCAUUCCAGUUAAAGUUGGCUUUGCAUAUGAGUUCUUAGAGUUCUCAGUUUGUUGCAUAACAACUUGGAAGCAAUGGCAGGCCCUUGAGCUGCCAGGUGGCAAGAAGUUAAGAUUGAGUUCAAUCCAUAUGGUUUUGGAUUUGUCAUUAUCUUUGUCUUGUGAUUAUGGUUUGACAAAUUCAUAUGGGUAGGAACUCAUACACCAUAUAAAUCUAAGUGUCAUAAGGUUUCUCUCCGAUUCAUGAAAAUGAUGGUGAGGAAACGCUUUCACUAAGUAGAUUUUACGAAGAUAUCAAUUGUGUUAUUUGCAUUUUCAAAAGUCGUUAGUGGAGCGCGUGUGGUUAACCGGCACACUAACAUGGACUUGUGAGAAAUGGCAAAUGCCUAAGCAAUUGAGACCAUGAUUACGGUAUCCCUUUUCAUGGUUCUUGAAAUUGCUUAGACACACAGGUGAGCUAUCUACGGAAAGGGUGUAUGAAUCUAAAUUUCAGACUGUCCAGCUGAUUUCUGAGUACAUGUCAAAGCUAGUGGGAGCAUAAGUGUUAUGCUAAUAAUCAUCAUGUUAGUGGGAGCAUGAUAAUUAUGAUAAGUAUUGCAAGUUAGCAAUGUUAAUUAUAGAAAACAAAAGUUUCAAUUGGGAAAAAGUUGUUUUGCUAUAAUUAAGGGAGAGGAAAUUAUGCUUCAUCUCAAAUCUAUAAGCUUAGAUCGUGAGGUUUUAAUCAUUUAGUCAAGGAUAUAUAUGAAUUUCAUGUUGGAAUGGCUCAACAUAAGGAAAUUCUGUAUAUGGGUCCAUUAUUUGCGUUCUAAAAUUCGAUUAUGAUUACGGCAUCCCUUUUCAUAAUCUGAAUUAUGAGAACUUGGCAAAUUGAAAUGGAAAUAUUAUAGCAAAAGACUGGUUUAGUCUUUAUGUAAGACAUCAUGAAUCGUGUCCCAUAUGCUUCGGAUAUAGGAUCGAUUACAUGUGCUAUAUUCAUCCGUUCUAAAAUUUUCCAAAUGCCUGGGGCAUUAAGAAGGGAAAAGGUUUAGAACUGGAUAUGACUAAAAGGAUUAAACAAUUGUCGAGGACAAUCUAAGGUUUACCAAAGAUUGGUUACUCAAGGACAAUUGGAAGUAUAGUGAUAAUUCUGGAAGGACCAUAUUGACAUAAUCUGUAAGGAGGCAACUCUUGUUCAGAAGUGAUAGUCAAAAUGGAAUCUGGAAAUGUUUCAAAGUUAGAAUUUUCAAUCUGUGUAAGAUUAAGGAAACUUAAUGCAAGAAGGAUAUUUCCAAGGAGUUGAUCUCCUUUGGAAUACUCUGUAAUGAUUGUUGCCAAGUCUUUGUGACUUUGUGCAUAAUCAUUACAAGAGGAUCAAUGCAUAUAAGUUUAGAAUCUAACAGAUUUCAGUAAAUGGCAUGAAUUUGGAAUUCUUGCAUUUGCAGUAAGGAUUUGGGAGUGUGAAAAGAGAAUCAUUGAAGUUAUGUUCAAUUGAUCUAGUUCACAAAGUAAAGAUCAUAGACAAACAUAGUAUGCAUACUUGGUGUGUGGCAUGACUAGUGUUUAAGAAAACAUAGUGUACAUGCUUGGAGCAUGGGACAACUAUUGUUUUAAAUUCAAGAAUAAAGUUGAUAGCUGAAACAGUAUACAAUGAAUAAUGUGUAAUCAUAUGGUGAUAAAUAAAAGGUGUUUUAUUUAUGUUCAAAGGGUUGAUACCAUAUUGGAUUCAAUUAUUAUUGUGUUUCAUUUUGCAUGUUUUGACUUCCCGAAUAAACUGGGUUAUUCUUCCGGAAUGACUAAGUUAUUCAAACCAUCCACAGUCGGUCAUAUGUUGGAAGUAGAUAUGAAUUAAGACUGUCAUGGGUUGGCUUGUAGAGGUCUAAGGUGUUGGACAAAGGGCUACAACACUCAUGAGUGCUCAUAAGUUCUGAGUAUUGGAUUCAACCCGCGCUCAUUGGAAUCACUUCAUGGAUUUUAUCACGAGUGAUCAUGAGACGAUAAUAUCUUAUAUUCUUCAAACCUAGAGAUAUGAGUUGUUACUAUGAGUUGAUAGUACAUUGAUUGCACGAAAACGCAUUUGGUAACUCGGUGCUAUAAAACGUGCCUUUGUGUAUGAUUCAACAAGUAGUAGAACAAGCCAUAUGAGUCGAAGUUUAUCCAUUCCUUUUACCUUCGGGAUAAAAGCGAUAUCUGUGGGCCCCUCGAUGAUUUGAUGAUGACAAAUGGAAGUGCUCGGCCGGGCCAGGACUGAUUUGAUUUGUUCAAUUAGUCAGUCGUCAUAAAUCGGAAAUCGGGAAACAACAAAUGGACAGAGAGAAUGAUUAUAAUCCAUGUCUCAGUCCAUAUGAUAUCUAGAAUGGAGGAAUAUAUGAUCCCUUAUCUAAUGGACAAGUCAUUGACAAAGGUCAGAGUUCAUCUACAAGGUCAGAGUUCGACAGAAGCUUUUGAGAGCUACGAUUGCCAGUUGGUUCCUGAAGUCAUACGCAAUAAUAGUUUUAGACUUAUCCAAGUGGGAGACUGUUGGAUUAAUGUCUAAGUCCAUAACUAUAAUUGGUAAGACUUGACCCGACCCGGCAUGGUCCAUUUGGGUUGCAUACCAUCAUGCACUUGGAUAGACUAUAAUGAGAGAAAUAAGACACUUAUGGUUAUUAAUAUAUUAUAAGUUCUAGUAUAUUAAUAAUAAGAAUAAUAAGAUUAUUUAAUUAGUAUUGAUCAAGAAUUAAUCUAGGAUUAAUUAAGUGAUCAAAAGAAGACUAAUUAAAUAUAUGGGUUGAUUGUGUAAAUCAUCCAUACUUGUAUAGUGGGCUAAUGCUCCAUGGAUAAUCAAGUUGGGCUAAAACCCAUAGGAUGGUCCAUGGAUGCUCCAUGGUGUAUUUGUACCCAUGGAUCAUGGAAAUGAAAGGCCAUGUCAAUUAGGGUUUACAUGGUGUAACCCUAACUAUAUAAGCAUCUUAUUCUUGACCAAAAUCGGCCACUAGGGUGUGAAGUAAAAGGGCUAGCCGAUUUCAUGAAGUGUAGAAUUCUCUCAAGUUAUUCUAAGUCUUUUGGUGAAUUGUGAUUCCAUUUGAGGCUUCCACACUAUUGGGGCUAGGCACUCAAGCUUCAUGAAGACUUUCCACAUCAACGAGGUAUGUAUUCUAUCUUGUUACACUCAUUGUUUUGUAUGCUAGAUUAGGAUUAUACCUUGGAUGUUCUUAUUUGUAUGUAUAAUAGAGAAAACAUAGAUCCAAGGUAUUUAGGGUUGCAUGUACACUUAGGAGUGUUAGAAUGCUCAAAACCCAACAAAACCUACAUCUUGUAUCAAGGACCUAAGAACAAGAAUAUGAUGACUUAUUAGAUAAGACAGUAUAAAUACCUGCUGAGGUUGGCUUCACCUUGCGAUCCUUGAUAUCCUACAAGUAUUUUGGGCAAUUUUGUUUCCAAUGCCCCUUGUCAUUGUAAUAGAAGCAAGUGGCCUCUUUGGGAUCAGAAACAGGGGGAUCAUCAGAAUUGGAUUUUCAUUGUAUGGUAUAAGGGUGUAUUUUUAAAACUUUUCGAAAAUAUUAGUUUACAUUUUUAAAUUUCAAAAAUUAAACCUUUUUAAUUUAAAUUUAAAAUAAACCCAAUAAUAUUUGACAUUAAUUAUUAAGUUCCAUUAAUAUCCAAAUUAAUUAUUUAACCAUUUAAAAAAUCAAACAUAUUAAUCAUAAAACAAUUAAUCAAGUCAAAUAUUAAUCUCCUAACUUUAAGGCAGUCAUAUUAUCAUGAUAUAUUCAGUAAAACCAGAUUUUAGCGAGCAAAUAUAUCAGAUAAUUAUCCAUUAAAUUAGAGUAGGUAGAUUUGGUCAAGAUUUUCGGAUCUUACCGAGCUCACGUCAUGAGCCUCAUAGCUCACGUCGUGACCUGCGACUAAACCAAAAAUGGUUUCGUUUUUCGAUUCACUAAUGUGCGAAUACAUGAAAGAAAACCCUAGGCUCUAAUACCACUGGAGGGUAAUCCAGGUUACAACUACAAUGCCAUAAGUGGAAAACAAUCAAAACAAUUCAACUGAUUAUGGCACAUGCAACCUAGUUUGAUCUAUGUCUUUCACAUAUAGCAACAUACUAUGAACAUUAGCAUACAAAAACUUUCCUAUGAAUAACCUAAUUUAUAAUAUAAGAAAACUAACCUUUAGAUUGUUAUAGUAGCAAUAUUCAAUCCUUCUUCUUCAAAACUUUGGUAGUUAGCAUCACAAGCGUCGUAUCUCUGAUGGUCCACACCCAAGGCUAGCAACUAAGGAUUAUGGAGAGGGAGGAGGAGAAUUUUGGCCAAAAGUCUCUAAGAGUUAGGAGUGUCAAAAUUGUGAAGGACAUGGCUCCUUGUAUAGGCGAGGUAGCUUAAAGCCAAAGCUAGGGUUUAAGGGAGGUGUAACACCCGUGUUUCUAGGCUAGGCAUUAAUAUUGAUGUAAUAGACUAGGUUAACCUUUGUAACUCGUUUUGAAGUAAUAGAAAUGUAUUAUUUGAGUAUUAUGUGUUUUGUAACGACCCAAUUUUCACGUCCAAAAAUUUUGUUAUUAAAACAUUACUUUUGAAAACAUUAAUAAUUAAAAACAUUGUUUGAUCAAACCACAUCACAACGUAAGCCAUGUCUAAAAGCCAAAUCAUACAACCAAUCGAAAUAUCGGAGUAUAAAUCCCAGAGAAAUCUCGUAAAUGCGGAAAACAGUGUGUGUGCAUGAUGUGCCGCUACCACGCCAGCUCCUUCCCCUUUGAUGAAGAGGUACCUGAAACCAAAACCGUAAACUGUAAGCACAAAGCUUAGUGAGUUCCCCCAUCGUACCACGUACCAUACAAACACAUAACAUACAUACUGCCAGGCUAUUCUGGGGUGCCUGACUACCCGGUACGGCCAUUCUGGGGUGCCGACUACCCUUGCGGCCAUUCUGGGGUGCCGUCCUACCCUUGCGGCCAUUUUGGGGUGCCGUCCUACCCGUGUCAAACCAUUCUGGGGUGCUGACUACCCGUGUCAAGCUAUUCUGGGGUGCUGACUACCCAUCGAUGCUAACAACCGAUCCUCGGGGACUAUUUCACCCCCUACUGCUACUUACACAUAUAUCAUACAUAACAUAUUAUCAGACAUAUCUGGGGUGUCUGGGCUACCCUUCGGUCCUAACAACCGAACUCGGGGACUGGUCCCCUCCUACUACCUCUAUCGCAUAUAACAUAACAAGCCAGCAUGCAAACAUAUCAUCACGUACUGUCAGACAUAUCUGGGGUGUCUGACCUACCCUUCGGUCCUAACAACCGAACUCUACAACUAUCACAUAUACAUAUCAUGCUAGCAUAUAACAUAUCAGGUAGUAGCAAACCUAGAUGAUAUCACAAAGACAAUCAUCUAACAUACAACUCCUACUGGUGGGCCGGCAUUGUGGCCGUAGACCCACCGCUACUGGAAGGUAACUCACCUCGAAGUAGCUGCUGAUCUGAUCGGGAACUGACUGUCUACUGCUGCUGCUGCUGCUCCGGAAAUCCUCCGGCUGUAAUUCCCACAACAUACUCAAUCAAACACUGCUAACUGUCCUUUGGGUAAAAUGACCAUUUUACCCCUGAUCAUGCCCUAAGUCAAAGUCAGAGUCAACUUUCAGUUGACCCAACUCGCCGAGUCCCGGUCCAAUCGACUGACCUGGAUCUCGUCUCUACUCGUCGAGUUAGGCGUUGACUCGACGAGUUCUCCUUCCAAACUGAUGUUCAAGUCCUUCAUCCUACUCGCCGAGUUAUAUGAACAACUCGCCGAGUUCAUCUUCAUCCGAUGAACAGUUAUGCUGCGACUCGCCGAGUUGUAUGAACAACUCGCCAAGUCUGAUCUUGAUCCAAGGAGAUUGUCUUGAACUCGCUGAUUCAGGGAAAUGACUCGCCAAGUUCCUUCAUGGAUGAGUUCGGCUUCCAACUCACUGAGUCACACCCCGUGACUCACUACUCUACUCGACAAUACGAAAAGGGGACAAACUCGGAGACUCGCGAGCAGACUCGCCGAGUCAGAUGAACGACUCGCCGAGUCGCUACCAUGCAGUCUCUAUAUGGUCGAUUUUGCUUGAAUCCAGCUUAUGCUAUCCACAGAUCUGGGUUCCUAGAGCAUGAAUAACACGUAAAGUUUCCAACUUUACGUGUAGAUACUCACUAAUGAGGGUUUUAGGGCUCAAAAUGCACCAAAAAGGGUAGAUCUAGGGUGUACAUGCAACAUGGGUCCAUAAAGGCAAUAGAUCCAAGCUCCUGGAGCUCGAUCUCACCUAGAUCUAGGAGUUACCCAACUUAUUACGAUUCCACAAGCGUACAUAAGCUUGGAAAUGGAUCAAAAAGGGCUUUAAUGGAGUUAUAAGGAACAAUAAGCAUGAAACCAGAGGGGGGAAUCGAGUUUUACCUCAAGGGAAACUCCGAGAUUGCUCAAAGAUGGCUGACCUCCUCUUCUUCUUCUUGAUCCACUCUUCUCCCUUCUCCAAAAGUUCAAAACACACUAGGAAUGCUUAAAAUCUCAAGGAAUAAAGCUUUGAACGAGGGUUAGGACUCUGAGGGUGAAUGGGGCGGAGUUGGGGCGCAAAAGGGUCGUUUAAAUAGGGUGCAAACCCUUGCAAAUUAGGGUUUCAUCAGACAGCGCGGACUCGCCGAGUCACCAACUUAAUCGCGUCCCAAGUCUCGCCUCUACUCGGCGAGUUGGGCCUCCAACUCGCCGUGUCCUAGGCCAAAAUACAAAAUACUCAGAGAUAUCUUACAUACCAGGAACCAGGUGCUACAAAUCUCCCCCACUUAUUUUAGACUUCGUCCUCGAAGUCUGCUGCUCGAACCUGAAACAGCUCGGGGUAAUGCUCCAUCAUCUCUUCCNCGCCUCCCAAGUCCCCUCCGAUCCCUUCCGGUGCUGCCAUUGCACCUUCACGAGUUCCACUCGCUUGUUCCUCAAAUCCUUCAACUUCCUGUCGAGGAUUGCGACUGGGCGCUCAAUGUAAUUCAGGCUGUCAUCAACCUGUAUAUCCUCUAUCGGCACUACUGCUGAAUCAUCGACUAGGCACUUCCGCAGCUGAGAAACAUGGAAAGUGUUGUUGAUCUGGAUGAGCUCGACUGGAAGAUCCAGCCUAUACGCCACCUUGCCCACCCGGGCUACAACCCUGAAUGGUCCGAUAAAUCUCGAGCCCAACUUGCCCCGCUUCCUGAAUCGAAUGAUGCCUUUCCAAGGCGACACCUUCAGGAGAACCAUAUCCCCGACUUGGAACUCCAAGUCGGAUCGACGCUUGUCGGCGUAACUUUUCUGCCGACUCUGAGCAGUCUGAAGCCUGCUCCGAACCUGCUGGAUCCUCUCGGUCGUCUUGAGCACCACCUCGGUGCUCCCCAUGACUCUCUGGCCAACUUCACCCCAGCAUAUCGGGGUCCUGCACCUCCGACCGUACAACAUCUCGAAUGGGGGACGGUCAAUACUCGCGUGGUAGCUGUUGUUGUAUGAGAACUCAGCCAAGGGAAGAUAAGUAUCCCAGCUACCACCGAAGUCUAGCACGCACGCCCGCAACAUAUCCUCCAGAGUCUGGAUGGUCCGCUCGCUCUGAUCAUCUGUCUGCGGGUGAAAGGCGGUGCUAAAAUGCAAACGAGUGCCCAACUCGUCAUGAAACCUCUUCCAAAACCUGGAAGUAAAACGCACAUCCCUGUCCGAGAUAACCAAUACUGGCACCCCGUGUCGCGCCAUAAUCUCCCUAACAUAGAUGUCGGCCAAUUUCUCGGCCGAUAUGCUCUCCUGAAUCGGAAUAAAAUGAGCACUCUUGGUCAAUCGAUCCACGAUGACCCAAAUCGAAUCUACUCCACGUGCGGUCUUGGGAAGUUUCGUGAUAAAAUCCAUCAUGAUAUCUUCCCAUUUCCACAACGGGAUGUCCAACGGCUGCAUCUUGCCAUGCGGUCUCUGAUGUUCGGCCUUGACCUUCCUGCAGGUCUAGCACCGCUCGACGUACCAAGCCACAUCCCGCUUCAUGCAGGGCCACCAAUAAUCUAGACGAAGAUCCCUAUACAUCUUCGUCGCCCCUAGAUGAAUAGAGAAUCAGGAUUUAUGCGCCUCCUCCAUCAAGAUCUGGCGCAGGCCUCCGUGAUAAGGCACCCACACCCUAUGGUGUAGUGUCAAUAGUCCUCGGCUAUCAUAUUUGAA